CCUACGGGAGGCAGCAGUGAGGAAUAUUGGUCAAUGGACGCGACUCUGAACCAGCCAAGUCGCGUGCAGGAUGACGGCACUGUGUAUUGUAAACUUCUUUUAUGCGGGGAUAAACUGAGUCACGUGUGGCUUGUUGAAGGUACCUCAUGAAUAAGGACCGGCUAAUUCCGUGCCAGCAGCCGCGGUAAUACGGAGGGUUCGGGCGUUAUCCGGAUUUAUUGGGUUUAAAGGGAGCGCAGGCCGCCCUUUAAGCGUGGUGUGAAAUGCCGGGGCUCAACCGUGGCACAGCAGUGCGAACUGGGGGGCUUGAGUGGGAGGGAGGUAGGCGGAAUGCGCGGUGUAGCGGUGAAAUGCUUAGAUAUCACGAAGAACCCCGAUUGCGAAGGCAGCGUACCGGCGCGUCACUGACGCUGAGGCACGAAGGUGCGGGUAUCGAACAGGAUUAGAUACCCCUGUAGUC
rnacentral:rRNA from 1 species